AACAAUGUGUGACUUUGUUUCUGUGUGUGUGUGUGUAUGUGUGUGUGUGCACGCGUGUAUAUUUGUAGAGAUGGGGUCUCCCUUUGUUGCCCAGGCUGGUCUUGAACUCCUGGCCUCAAGCAAUCCUCCCAACUCUGUGACUUUGAUGACUACAUCACACAAGCGUCAUGGCAGCCCUGUGAAGAGGCUGACUUGGAAAAAAAAAAAAGAAAUGCUUCUGCCAACAUCCAACAACAUCUUCCAGCCAUAUGAAUGAGCCACCUUGGAAGUGGAUCCUCCAGCUCCAAACAAGUCUUCAGAUGUGUGUAACCCCAGCCAAUAUCCAACUGAAACUUCAUGAGAGACCUUUGGCCUGAACUACCUAGCCAAGCAACUCCUGAAAUCCUGAUCACAGAAACAGAAUAGAGCAAGAGUUGAUCAGUCUUGCAAUGAGAGAAUUGAUGAAAUACUUAAGGAAGAACUUCUUAACUGAAGGGCAAUUAAACACAAAUGGCUUUGCAUGGGAGGAUAUGGAAAUCUUGCUCCUUUGUGAUCUUUGAAAAGAGGCAGCAGCUGUUGUGAGCAACUUAAGACUCACAGAGUGCUAUCCUGGAGGAGGAGGAGGAUGAACCACGUCCUGGGAAUAACUCUCUAUACACUUUAACAUAUUUUCCUGGUGGUCCUUAUGCACACUACAGUUUGAGAAUCAUGGUUAUUGAGAAAUAAAAGGCUUUCUUUC
rnacentral:lncRNA from 1 species